rnacentral:misc_RNA from 1 species
GGAAGGAUCAUUUCCAAUAAUUGAAAAACAUCAAAAACACCUUUAUUGGUGUGUGAAUUGUUUUGGGUACUCUAUUUCUCUCAAAAGAGGAUUGAUUUGAUGAAGUGUGAUGUGGUAUACUGUUGGUGUGGUGGAGCAUUGUGGCGUUGGAAUGCGUUGGAAGACUUGUUUCUCAAUGAUGUGGACACUCUCUUGUUGCAGCGUAAUAACAUCUCGUAUGUUAUUGCCUUGUGAAGUUGAGUGUUGUCCACUGACUUUGUUGGACUUGUCGAUAACGACUAUUUCCCUUGUCACUUCCUGCAACAGCACAUUUAAAGCCGACUGUACUCAUCCUUUCUCUCAUUAUUCCCCUUAGAGAGGCCUUGAUGAACCACUAAAGGGGCCUUUUGGAAAAAUAGUUGUGACAGUUUACUCUAUCACUUCUAUCGACCAUUUUUUCCCUUUACCAAACGUUAACAAAAAAAGCUCGUCUUAUUUUGUUUUUGCUUUCUUCUUUGUAAGAAACAAUAAAUGAUUGACAACUUUUAACGGUGGAUCUCUUGGCUCGUGCAUCGAUGAAGAACGCAGCGAACUGCGAUACGUAAUGUGAAUUGCAGAAUUCAGUGAAUCAUCGAAUCUUUGAACGCAUAUUGCGCUGUAGAGUUCUCUCUGCAGCAUGUCUGUUUGAGUGUCAGAUCUUUUCCUCUGGUUGAAGAGUUAUAACGGAAGAAGGAGUCAUUUCCCUUGCUUUAUCUCUCUAAUAUACCGGGCUUGAUGUGAGGUGUUAGUCUCUUUUUUCUCUCUUCGGAGGGUAAAGGAUUAUCCCUUUAAAUUCAGGGCGAGAGUAGGGUGGAUUCAAGGUAUCUCUCUUAAAACAAGAGUAUGUUGAGUUUGACUAUUCACGCUUAUAAACACUUUGGAGAUGUCAGUUCCUCUUUUCUUAAAACAAAAAAAGGGACGCAUUUUUAAACCCAAUAAAGGUUUCCACAUGCAUUGAGUCCCCGGACUCUUUGUGUGUUCAAAACUUUGGUGUGGUAAAAGAUAAGGCUCUUAACCGGGUCUUAUCCUCACAAUCAUCAAAGGGAAACUCCUUUUUCAACAAGGUUUCUAAAUGUCAAGCAUCAUGCCAAAACAAUCUUAUCACUCAUGACCUCAAAUCAGGCAAGACUACCCGCUGAACUUAAGCAUAUUAAUAAGCGGAGGAAAAGAAACUAACAAGGAUUCCCUCAGUAACGGCGAGUGAAGCGGGAAUAGCUCAAAUUUGAAAUCUCCAGGGGCAACCUUGGCGAAUUGUAGUUUAGAGAAGCACUUGUUGGGGGCGGACGCUGUCCAAGUUCUUUGGAACGAGACAUCAGAGAGGGUGAGAAUCCCGUAUCUGGCAGCGAGCAUCCAGUCCCCUCUACAGGGUGUUUUCGAAGAGUCGGGUUGUUUGGGAAUGCAGCCCAAAAUGGGUGGUAAAUUUCAUCUAAAGCUAAAUAUGGGCACGAGACCGAUAGCGAACAAGUACCGUGAGGGAAAGAUGAAAAGCACUUUGAAAAGAGAGUUAAAAAGCACGUGAAGCUGUUAAAAUGGAAACGAUUAAAGUCAGCAGUGCUUGCCUGACAAUCAAUCUAUUCCGGCCUUGCCGUGGGGUGGCUGACGAGAUGUCAAAGUCCGUUUCAGUUGCUCAAUGCAAGCGAGGUUGGGGUGGGUGCACUUGUUGGGAGGAGCGGGUCAGCAUCGGUUUGACGAGAGUGGGGUAAGACUUGGAGGAAGGUAGCAUGACUCGCAAGAGUUGUGUGUUAAGCCUCCAAGUUGAGACACCGGUUAGACCGAGGAAAUUUUUACAGUGCACGCCCUUCUGGGCUAGUGGGUGCUUUAUUAUGCGCUUCUUACUGCCGAUUUACAGCGUCAAAAACUGUGCUUUGGUGUAACGGGGUGUAUACUUGAGGUGCUUUUCUUAAGUGUUACUGCAGAUGCUGACGAAAUGGCUUUAACCGACCCGUCUUGAAACACGGACCAAGGAGUCUAACAUAUGCGCGAGUCUUAGGGUGGCAAACCCGAAAGGCAUAAUGAAAGUAAAGGCAGUCAUUGGGAUUGCUGAGGUGAGAACCCCCUUAAAAGGGUGCAUCAUCGACCGAUCUGGAUUUUCUUUGAAAGAUUUGAGUAAGAGCGUAUCUGUUGGGACCCGAAAGAUGGUGAACUAUGCCUGAAUAGGGUGAAGCCAGAGGAAACUCUGGUGGAGGCUCGUAGCGGUUCUGACGUGCAAAUCGAUCGUCAAAUUUGGGUAUAGGGGCGAAAGACUAAUCGAACCAUCUAGUAGCUGGUUCCCAC